rnacentral:rRNA from 1 species
AGUGAACGCUGGCGGUAGGCCUAACACAUGCAAGUCGAACGGCAGCACAGUAAGAGCUUGCUCUUACGGGUGGCGAGUGGCGGACGGGUGAGGAAUACAUCGGAAUCUACUUUUUCGUGGGGGAUAACGUAGGGAAACUUACGCUAAUACCGCAUACGACCUACGGGUGAAAGCAGGGGAUCUUCGGACCUUGCGCGAUUGAAUGAGCCGAUGUCGGAUUAGCUAGUUGGCGGGGUAAAGGCCCACCAAGGCGACGAUCCGUAGCUGGUCUGAGAGGAUGAUCAGCCACACUGGAACUGAGACACGGUCCAGGCUCCUGCGGGAGGCAGCAGUGGGGAAUAGUGGACAAUGGGGGGAAGCCUGAUCCAGCCAUCCCGCGUGGGUGGAGGAGGCCUUCGGGUUGUAAAGACCUUUUGUUGGGAAAGAAAAGCAGCAGGUUAAUACCACGCUGUUCUGACGGUACCCAAAGAAUAAGCACCGGCUAACUUCGUG